rnacentral:rRNA from 1 species
AACGAACGCUGGCGGCAGGCUUAACACAUGCAAGUCGAGCGCCCCGCAAGGGGAGCGGCAGACGGGUGAGUAACGCGUGGGAACGUACCCUUUGCUACGGAAUAGCUCCGGGAAACUGGAAUUAAUACCGUAUGUGCCCUACGGGGGAAAGAUUUAUCGGCAAAGGAUCGGCCCGCGUUGGAUUAGCUAGUUGGUGGGGUAAUGGCCUACCAAGGCGACGAUCCAUAGCUGGUCUGAGAGGAUGAUCAGCCACAUUGGGACUGAGACACGGCCCAAACUCCUACGGGAGGCAGCAGUGGGGAAUAUUGGACAAUGGGCGCAAGCCUGAUCCAGCCAUGCCGCGUGAGUGAUGAAGGUCUUAGGAUUGUAAAGCUCUUUCACCGAUGAAGAUAAUGACGGUAGUCGGAGAAGAAGCCCCGGCUAACUUCGUGCCAGCCGCCGCGGUAAAAC